AUUGAACGCUGGCGGCAGGCCUAACACAUGCAAGUCGAACGAGUGGCGGACGGGUGAGUAAUGUCUGGGAAACUGCCUGAUGGAGGGGGAUAACUACUGGAACCGGUAGCUAAUCCCGCAUACCAUCGGAUGUUCCCAGAUGGGAUUAGCUAGUAGGGGGGGUAAAGGCUCACCGAGGCGACGAUCCCUAGCUGGGCUGAGAGGAUGACCAGCCAAACUGGAACUGAGACACGGUCCAGACUCCUACGGGAGGCAGCAGUGGGGAAUAGUGCACAAUGGGCGCAAGGCUGAUAGAGCCAUGCCGCGUGUAUGAAGAAGGCAUGCGGGUUGUAAAGUACUUUCAGUGGGGAGGCGUUACCCGAAGAAGAAGCACCGGCUAACUCCGUGCCAGCAGCCGCGGUAAUAC
rnacentral:rRNA from 1 species